rnacentral:rRNA from 1 species
AAUCAACGCUGGCGGCGUGCCUAACACAUGCAAGUCGAACGCGGUUGCCCCGCAAGGGGCAACUGAGUGGCAAACGGGUGAGUAACGCGUGGGUGACCUACCUUCGAGUGGGGGAUAACGUUUCGAAAGGAACGCUAAUACCGCAUGACAUCCUGCCUUUGGACAGGCGGAGAUCAAAGCCGGGGAUCGCAAGACCUGGC